rnacentral:rRNA from 1 species
GACGAACGCUGGCGGCGUGCCUAAUACAUGCAAGUCGAGCGGACUUGUAGGAGCCUGGCUCCUACAAGUUAGCGGCGGACGGGUGAGUAACACGUGGGCAAUCUGCCUAUCAGACUGGAAUAACGCCUGGAGACGGGUGCUAAUGCCGGAUAUGAAACUUAGGGGCAUCCCUGAGUUUGGAAAGGUGCUACGGCACUACUGAUAGAGGAGCCCGCGGCGCAUUAGCUAGUUGGUGGGGUAGAAGCCUACCAAGGCGACGAUGCGUAGCCGACCUGAGAGGGUGACCGGCCACACUGGGACUGAGAUACGGCCCAGACUCCUACGGGAGGCAGCAGUAGGGAAUCUUCCGCAAUGGGCGAAAG